rnacentral:lncRNA from 1 species
AUGGUGCCCAAAGCAAAGAAGGAAGCUCCUGCCCCUCCCAAAGCCGAAGCCAAAGGAAGGCCUUGAAAGCUAAGAAGGCAGUGCUGAAAGGUGUCCACAGCCACAAAAAGAAGAAGAUCCGAACGUCACCCACCUUCCAGAGGCCCAAGACCCUGCGGCUCUGGAGGCAGCCAAAAUAUCCUCAGAAGAGUGUGCCCAGGAGAAACAAGCUUGGCCACUAUGCUAUCAUCAAAUUCUCACUGACCACUGAGUCAGCCAUGAAGAAAACAGGAAAAACAACACUCUUGUGUUCAUUGUGGAUGUCAAGGCCAACAAGCAUCAGAUCAAACAGGCUGUCAAGAAACUCUAUGACAUUGAAAUGGCCAAAGUCAAUACCCUGAUAAGGCCCUAUGGAGAGAAGAAGGUGUCUGUUCUCUUGGCUCCUGAUUAUGAUGCCCUGGAUGUUGCCAACAAGAUUGGGAUCAUCUAA